AUUGAACGCUGGCGGCGUGCUUAACACAUGCAAGUCGAGCGGUAACAGGCGUAGCAAUACGUGCUGACGAGCGGCGAACGGGUGCGUAAUACAUGGGAAUCUGCCCUUUGGUGGGGAAUAACCCGGCGAAAGCCGGGCUAAUGCCGCAUAAGAUCUUCGGAUGAAAGCGGGGGAUCGUAAGACCUCGCGCCGAUGGAUGAGCCCAUGUCGGAUUAGCUAGUUGGUGAGGUAACGGCUCACCAAGGCGUCGAUCCGUAGCUGGUCUGAGAGGACGGCCAGCCACACUGGGACUGAGACACGGCCCAGACUCCUACGGGAGGCAGCAGUGGGGAAUAUUGGACAAUGGGGGAAACCCUGAUCCAGCGACGCCGCGUGUGUGAAGAAGGCCUGCGGGUUGUAAAGCACUUUCGAUGGGAACGAAAUGUGCCGGGCUAAUACCCCGGCAAGCUGACGUUACUCAAUGAAGAAGCACCGGCUAACUCUGUGCCAGCCGCCGCGGUAAAAC
rnacentral:rRNA from 1 species